rnacentral:tRNA from 1 species
GACACUGUGGCUUAGCUGGUUAAAGCAUGUGCCUUAUAAGCAGGCAAUCCUGGGUUUGAAUCCCAGGGGUGCCU